GUCCGGACCCUGUCGAUGGGUACGGUUCGAACCGGGUCAGGCCGGGAACGGAGCAGCCCUAAGAGCAUGGAUUCAUGCGAUGGACGCCCGGGCCCA
rnacentral:SRP_RNA from 2 species